CCCUUAGAUGUCCGGGGCCGCACGCGCGCUACACUGAAGGAAUCAGCGUGGCUUUCUCCCUGACCCGAAAGGGUUGGGAAACCCGUUGAAUCUCCUUCGUGAUAGGGAUUGGGGCUUGAAAUUGUUCCCCAUGAACGAGGAAUUCCCAGUAAGCGCGAGUCAUAAGCUCGCGUUGAUUACGUCCCUGCCCUUUGUACACACCGCCCGUCGCUACUACCGAUUGAACGGUUUAGUGAGGGCCUCGGAUUUGUCUCGGCCCGCUCUUUACCGGGCGGCGCCGUUGGUCGAGAAGACGCUCGAACUUGAUCGUUUAGAGGAAGUAAAAGUCGUAACA
rnacentral:rRNA from 1 species